GGGGGGGGGGGGGGGGGGGCCGAACGCAGGGAGGUCGAGCGGCGGCGCCGUGGGAGCUUGCUCUGACGGGUGGGGGGUGGCGGGCGGGUGAGGAAUACCUCGGCAGCUCCUGUUUGGGGGGGGAUGACGCAGGGAACCUUACGCUCCUACACAAUACGACCUCCUGGUUAAAUCAUGGGCGCCUCGGACCUUUCGCGCAUGCAUCAGCCGAUUUCGGGUUCGCUAGUUGGCGGGUUAAAGGCCCCCAACGGCGACGAUCCGUCGCUGGUCUGCCAGGAUGAUCAGCCACACUGGAACUGAGAGACGGUCCAGACUCGUACGGGAGGCAGCAGUGGGGAAUAGUGGACAAGGGGCGCAAGCCUGAGCCAGCCAUACCGCGUGGGUGAAGAAGGCCUUCGGGUUGUAAAGCCCUUUUGUUGGGAAAGAAAAGCAGCAGGUUAAUACCCCGCUGUUCUGACGGUACCCAAAGAAUAAGCACCGGCUAACUUCGUG
rnacentral:rRNA from 1 species